UGUAACAAAUAAAAAUAUUAUUAUUAUUUACACAUGUCUUAGGGCUGAUAAAUUGGAACUUGACUCAUCCCGGGACUCUGAUAAAUAUAUCUGAAACUUCUGAUAAAUAAUCAUCAAUCUAUCACCAAAAGGACUUUCUUUGGCUUUUAACAUGAACAAUAUAAGCAUGUUACGCCAGGAUGGCGAUUAUUCAUGAAACACAACUGUAUACAUUCCGAGGAUUAAGGAACAAGA